GGGACACGUGGUAUCCUGUCUGAAUAUGGGGGGACCAUCCUCCAAGGCUAAAUACUCCUGACUGACCGAUAGUGAACCAGUACCGUGAGGGAAAGGCGAAAAGAACCCCGGCGAGGGGAGUGAAAAAGAACCUGAAACCGUGUACGUACAAGCAGUGGGAGCCUCUUUUAUGGGGUGACUGCGUACCUUUUGUAUAAUGGGUCAGCGACUUAUAUUCUGUAGCAAGGUUAACCGAAUAGGGGAGCCGAAGGGAAACCGAGUCUUAACUGGGCGUUAAGUUGCAGGGUAUAGACCCGAAACCCGGUGAUCUAGCCAUGGGCAGGUUGAAGGUUGGGUAACACUAACUGGAGGACCGAACCGACUAAUGUUGAAAAAUUAGCGGAUGACUUGUGGCUGGGGGUGAAAGGCCAAUCAAACCGGGAGAUAGCUGGUUCUCCCCGAAAGCUAUUUAGGUAGCGCCUCGUGAAUUCAUCUCCGGGGGUAGAGCACUGUUUCGGCAAGGGGGUCAUCCCGACUUACCAACCCGAUGCAAACUGCGAAUACCGGAGAAUGUUAUCACGGGAGACACACGGCGGGUGCUAACGUCCGUCGUGAAGAGGGAAACAACCCAGACCGCCAGCUAAGGUCCCAAAGUCAUGGUUAAGUGGGAAACGAUGUGGGAAGGCCCAGACAGCCAGGAUGUUGGCUUAGAAGCAGCCAUCAUUUAAAGAAAGCGUAAUAGCUCACUGGUCGAGUCGGCCUGCGCGGAAGAUGUAACGGGGCUAAACCAUGCACCGAAGCUGCGGCAGCGACACUAUGUGUUGUUGGGUAGGGGAGCGUUCUGUAAGCCUGUGAAGGUGUGCUGUGAGGCAUGCUGGAGGUAUCAGAAGUGCGAAUGCUGACAUAAGUAACGAUAAAGCGGGUGAAAAGCCCGCUCGCCGGAAGACCAAGGGUUCCUGUCCAAC
rnacentral:rRNA from 1 species